GCGGGGGUAGCCGAGUUGGCCAAAGGCGCAGGACUUAAGAUUCUGUUCUUAGUGAUUCAGGGGUUCGAAUCCCUUCCCCCGCACCA
rnacentral:tRNA from 1 species